rnacentral:rRNA from 1 species
UACGGGGGGGGCAAGCGUUGUUCGGAAUUACUGGGCGUAAAGGGCUUGUAGGUGGCCAACUAAGUCAGACGUGAGAUCCCUCGGCUUAACCGGGGAACUGCGUCUGAUACUGGAUGGCUUGAGUGUGGGAGAGGGAUGCGGAAUUCCAGGUGUAGCGGUGAAAUGCGUAGAUAUCUGGAGGAACACCGGUGGCGAAGGCGGCAUCCUGGACCAUUACUGACACUGAAAAGCGAAAGCCAGGGGAGCAAACGGG